ACAAAUCCAAAUCCCUAUACACCCUCUAAUUUCUCUCACCCUCAGAGCUCCGACAAUUCACUUGAUGCAGCUUUGUCAAGAAUCUUCAACAAGUUUUUGGCUAACAAACCGAGUUAUAACAUUUGCCUGCUCAGUAUCCUGAGAGGUUACUCAAUACAUGAUUAUAUAGACAACCGAACAAAUUCGCUCAAGUUUAAUCCUGAGAGUUCUAAAACAAUGAAAAACAAUAACGAAGGGUUCAGAUUCCACAGCUCCUGAUGUGAGCAAAGUCUUGGCAACAGAAUCUCCAAGCAACAGCUUAUCACAACUAAUUUAAGACAAAGAAGCUGUCACUUGAUAGCAUACCAAAGUGC
rnacentral:lncRNA from 1 species